rnacentral:rRNA from 1 species
CCUACGGGUGGCAGCAGUGAGGAAUAUUGGUCAAUGGACGAAAGUCUGAACCAGCCAAGUAGCGUGAAGGAUGACUGCCCUAUGGGUUGUAAACUUCUUUUAUAAAGGAAUAAAACGCGGCACGUGUGCCUUUUUGCAUGUACUUUAUGAAUAAGGAUCGGCUAACUCCGUGCCAGCAGCCGCGGUAAUACGGAGGAUCCGAGCGUUAUCCGGAUUUAUUGGGUUUAAAGGGUGCGUAGGCGGAUUGUUAAGUCAGUUGUGAAAGUUUGCGGCUCAACCGUAGAAUUGCAGUUGAAACUGGCAGUCUUGAGUACGGUAGAGGUAGGCGGAAUGCGUGGUGUAGCGGUGAAAUGCUUAGAUAUCACGAAGAACCCCGAUUGCGAAGGCAGCUCACUGGACUGCAACUGACGCUGAUGCACGAAAGUGUGGGUAUCAAACAGGAUUAGAUACCCUGGUAGUG